CGUCGGAAUCUGGGAGGACCAUCUCCCAACCCUAAAUACUCCCUAGUGACCGAUAGUGAACCAGUACCGUGAGGGAAAGGUGAAAAGCACCCCGGGAGGGGAGUGAAAUAGAACCUGAAACCGUGUGCCUACAACAAGUUCGAGCCCGUUAAUGGGUGAGAGCGUGCCUUUUGUAGAAUGAACCGGCGAGUUACGUUAUGAUGCGAGGUUAAGUUGAAGAGACGGAGCCGUAGGGAAACCGAGUCUGAAUAGGGCGCCUUAGUAUCAUGACGUAGACCCGAAACCAUGUGACCUACCCAUGAGCAGGUUGAAGGUGCGGUAAGACGCACUGGAGGACCGAACCAGGGCACGUUGAAAAGUGCUUGGAUGACUUGUGGGUAGCGGAGAAAUUCCAAACGAACUUGGAGAUAGCUGGUUCUCUCCGAAAUAGCUUUAGGGCUAGCGUCGACAUUAGAGAUUCUUGGAGGUAGAGCACUGUUUGGGUGAGGGGUCCAUCCCGGAUUACCAAUCUCAGAUAAACUCCGAAUGCCAAUGAAUUAUGGUCGGCAGUCAGACUGCGAGUGCUAAGAUCCGUAGUCGAAAGGGAAACAGCCCAGACCACCAGCUAAGGUCCCAAAAUAAUUGUUAAGUGGAAAAGGAUGUGGGGUUGCACAGACAACUAGGAUGUUAGCUUAGAAGCAGCUAUUCAUUCAAAGAGUGCGUAAUAGCUCACUAGUCGAGUGACCCUGCGCCGAAAAUGUACCGGGGCUAAAACAAUUUACCGAAGCUGUGGAUACCUUUAUAGGUAUGGUAGGAGAGCGUUCUAUGUGUGAUGAAGGUAUACCGUGAGGAGUGCUGGAACGCAUAGAAGUGAGAAUGCCGGUAUGAGUAGCGAAAGACAGGUGAGAAUCCUGUCCACCGUAAGACUAAGGUUUCCAGGGGAAGGCUCGUCCGCCCUGGGUUAGUCGGGACCUAAGGAGAGACCGAAAGGUGUAUCCGAUGGACAACAGGUUGAUAUUCCUGUACUAGAGUAU
rnacentral:rRNA from 1 species